rnacentral:sRNA from 1 species
GAUGCCAGGGUCAUAAGCCUGCAACCACGAUGGGCUUGCUCAGGAGUGGAUGCAUGGCUUAAUGACCCGCCCCGAUAUGAGCAUAAAAGGGAAGCGCAAGCUUCGCGAUAUGCGAAUAUUGGGCAGAAUUGCGAGAGUACGCUGUACGGAGCAAUUCGUCU